ensembl:snoRNA
ACGUGAAGUGAUGUUGUCAUCUUUCGGGACUGACAUGAAAUGAAGUCACCCCCAAUGCUGAUCAUUU